rnacentral:rRNA from 1 species
UUAUUUAGCUUUUUCGAAUAAUCAGUGGCGAAAGGAUGCGUAAUACGUGGGUUAUCUGUCUUUGAGAUGGGGAUAACUUGUCGAAAGAUAAGCUAAUACCCAAUAUGACCACGAGUACUUCGGUGCUUGAGGUAAAAGGAUGGGGAAUCGUAAGAUCCUAGUGCUCGAAGUUGAGCUCACGGCCUAUCAGCUUGUUGGUAGGGUAAUGGCCUACCAAGGCAAUGACGGGUAGCUGGUCUGAGAGGAUGGUCAGCCAUACUGGAACUGAGACACGGUCCAGACUCCUACGGGAGGCAGCAGCCGAGAAUCUUCCGCAAUGGGCGAAAGCCUGACGGAGCGACACCGCGUGUAGGAUGAAGGCCUUCGGGUUGUAAACUACUGUCACUUGGGAAAAGAUUCAUCGCAAUUAAUACUUGCGGUGAUUGAUUGUACCAAGAGAGGAAGCCACGGCUAACUCUGUGCCAGCAGCCGCGGUAAUACAGAGGUGGCAAGCGUUGUUCGGAUUGAUUGGGUGUAAAGGGUGCGUAGGCGGUUUAGAAAGUCGGGUGUGAAAUCCUAUGGCUUAACCAUAGAAUUGCAUUCGAAACUUCUAGACUAGAGUGCGAAAGAGGUGAAGGGAAUUCCCGGUGUAAGGGUGAAAUCUGUAGAGAUCGGGAGGAACACCAGAAGCGAAGGCGCUUCACUGGUUCGCAACUGACGCUGAGUGCACGAAAGCAUGGGGAGCAAACGGGAUUAGAUACCCCGGUAGUCCAUGCCGUAAACGAUGUUCACUAGGUGUUGGUCCCGUUAAUUC